rnacentral:rRNA from 1 species
CCCUUAGAUGUUCUGGGCUGCACGCGUGCUACACUGAUUACUUCAACAAGUGUUUUAACUGGAGAGUUCGCGUAAUCCUGAAAUGUUAUCGUGAUGGGAGUAGAGUAUUGUAUUUGUUAAUCUUUAACGAGGAAUUCCUAGUAAGUGUAGGUUUAUAAGUUGUUCUGAUUACGUCCCUGCCCUUUGUACACACCGCCCGUCGCUCCUACCGAUUGGGUGAGCCGAUGAAACUCUCGGAUGUAGGCUAUUCAUAGCCCGCAGAAGAGAUUUGAAUCGUAGCGCUUAGAGGAAGGAGAAGUCGUAACA